rnacentral:rRNA from 1 species
UACGUAGGCAGCGAGCGUUGUUCGGAAUUACUGGGCGUAAAGAGUGUGUAGGCGGUGCUCUAAGUUCGGUGUGAAAUCUCCUGGCUUAACUGGGAGGGUGCGCCGGAAACUGGAGUGCUUGAGCGUGGGAGAGGAAAGCGGAAUUCCUGGUGUAGCGGUGAAAUGCGUAGAUAUCAGGAGGAACACCUGUGGUGUAGACGGCUUUCUGGACCAUAGCUGACGCUGAAGCACGAAAGCGUGGGUCGCGAAUGGG